rnacentral:rRNA from 1 species
CACUAUGCCUAGCCCUAAACAUUAAUAGUACUUUACAACUGCUAUCCGCCUGGGUACUACGAGCAUCAGCUUAAAACCCAAAGGACUUGGCGGUGCUUUAGAUCCACCUAGAGGAGCCUGUUCUAGAACCGAUAACCCCCGUUCAACCUCACCCUUUCUUGUUUAUCCCGCCUAUAUACCACCGUCGUCAGCUUACCCUGUGAAGGCCCUAUAGUAAGCAAAAUUGGCAAAGCCCAAAACGUCAGGUCGAGGUGUAGCGUAUGAAAGGGGAAGAAAUGGGCUACAUUCUCUAAACAAGGGAAUCACGAAUAAUUCAUUGAAACAUGAAUCUGAAGGAGGAUUUAGCAGUAAGCGGAAAAUAGAGCGUUCCGCUGAAACUGGCCCUGAAGCGCGCACACACCGCCCGUCACUCUCCCCGAGCUUAAAGAAUUGCAAAUAAAUAAAACCCUAUAACUGCAAAGGGGAGGCAAGUCGUAA